rnacentral:misc_RNA from 1 species
AGCAGCCGCGGUAAUUCCAGCUCCAAUAGCGUAUAUUAAAGUUGUUGCAGUUAAAAAGACUCGUAGUUGAAUUUCGGGGUUAGUAGGUUGGUCAUGCCUCUGGUAUGUACUGGUCUCACUGAUUCCUCCUUCCUGAUGAGCCGUAAUGCCAUUAAUUUGGUGUUGCGGGGAAUUUGGACUGUUACUUUGAAAAAAUUAGAGUGUUUAAAGCAAGCUAACGCUUGAAUACAUUAGCAUGGAAUAAUGAAAUAGGACGUUCGAUCCUAUUUUGUUGGUUUCUAGGAUUGACGUAAUGAUUAAUAGGGAUAGUUGGGGGCAUUAGUAUUCAAUUGUCAGAGGUGAAAUUCUUGGAUUUAUUGAAGACUAACUACUGCGAAAGCAUUUGCCAAGGAUGUUUUCAUUAAUCAAGAACGAAAGUUAGGGAUCGAAGACGAUCAGAUACCGUCGUAGUCUUAACCAUAAACUAUGCCGACUAGGGAUCGGAUGAUGUUAAUUUUUAAUGACUCAUUCGGCGCCUUAA